rnacentral:rRNA from 1 species
UAGGGAAUAUUAGAAAUGGACGAAAGUCUGAUCUAGCAACACCGCGUGUGCGAAGAAGGCCUUCGGGUUGUAAAGCACUUUUUGGAAGGAUUAGGAAGGAAUGUACUUCCAGAAUAAGUCUCGGCUAACUACGUGCCAGCAGCCGCGGUAACACGUAGGAGGCAAACGUUAUCCGGAUUUACUGGGCGUAAAGCGCGUGUAGGUGGUUCUGUAAGUAGGGCGUGAAAGCUCCUGGCUCAACUGGGAAAGGCCGUUCUAAACUGCAGAGCUAGAGGAUGGUAGAGGGAGGUGGAAUUCCGGGGGUAGCGGUGGAAUGCGCAGAUAUCCGGAGGGACACCAGUGGCGAAAGCGGCCUCCUGGACCAUUCCUGACACUCAGACGCGAAAGCUAGGGUAGCAAACG